GCCGAAGUGGCGGAACUGGCAGACGCGCGCGACUCAAACUCGCGUGUCCUUUUGGACUUGUGGGUUCGAUUCCCACCUUCGGCA
rnacentral:tRNA from 1 species